rnacentral:lncRNA from 1 species
UGAGGGGUAAAUGUCAGAUCAUAAUAACAGUUCGAGCUAUUAGAAAAAUACAAUCAAUUCACUUAAAAUGUGCAAAGACAGCGCUCACAGGUUUCGAUUAUAAUUCGGCCCAAUCAACCUCAUAUUGCCGCUUCGAAUAUGAUUCGGCCUAAUCCGACCUUUUGCCGUUUCGAACGUUACGCGUUUUAAUCUGACCUCCUAGUACAAGAUAGAAUGCUGGACCUUUUAAACUAACAAUAUAAAAAAAGAAUGUAACUUGUGAAGCCCAAAGGCACUAAUGGUGGCAAAGUGAGUUAGGUGAGAGAGAGAGAGAGAGAGAGAGAGAGAGAGAAAUGUCAGUGUGGGGGGGAAUGGGGAUGUGUGCAAGGUGGUGGGUGAGGAGAGCAACAAAUAUUAUUAAGAGUGGAGGCAAAGGAAAGGAACANAUAAUAACAGUUCGAGCUAUUAGAAAAAUACAAUCAAUUCACUUAAAAUGUGCAAAGACAGCGCUCACAGGUUUCAAUUAUAAUUCGGCCCAAUCAACCUCAUAUUGCGGCUUCGAAUAUGAUUCGGCCUAAUCCGACCUUUUGCCGUUUCGAACGUUACGCGUUUUAACCUGACCUCCUAGUACAAGAUAGAAUGCUGGAUCUUUUAAACCAACAAUAUAAAAAAAGAAUGUAAGUUGUGAAG